rnacentral:tRNA from 1 species
UGCCCCUUGGCUGAGUUGGUUACAGCGUCCGACUGUUAUCGCAAUCGGAAGGUCGUGAGUUCGAGCCUCACAGGGGCAG